rnacentral:rRNA from 1 species
GCUAGCGGCAGGCCUAACACAUGCAAGUCGAACGGUAACAGGAAUUAGCUUGCUAAUUUGCUGACGAGUGGCGCACGGGUGCGUAACGCGUAUACAAUCUACCUUUUGCUGAGGGAUAGCCCAGAGAAAUUUGGAUUAAUACCUCAUAGUAUUAUUGAUAGGCAUCUAUUAAUAAUUAAAGGUUACGGCAAAAGAUGAGUAUGCGUCCCAUUAGCUAGUUGGCGAGGUAACGGCUCACCAAGGCAACGAUGGGUAGGGGUCCUGAGAGGGAGAUCCCCCACACUGGUACUGAGACACGGACCAGACUCCUACGGGAGGCAGCAGUGAGGAAUAUUGGACAAUGGGCGAGAGCCUGAUCCAGCCAUGCCGCGUGCAGGAAGACUGCCCUAUGGGUUGUAAACUGCUUUUAUACAGGAAGAAUAAGCCUUACGUGUAAGGUGAUGACGGUACUGUAAGAAUAAGGACCGGCUAACUCCGUGCCAGCAGCCGCGGUAAUACGGAGGGUCCGAGCGUUAUCCGGAAUUAUUGGGUUUAAAGGGUCCGUAGGCGGAUGAUUAAGUCAGGGGGUGAAAGUUUGCAGCUCAACUGUAAAAUUGCCUUUGAUACUGGUUAUCUUGAGUUGUAUUGAAGUA